ensembl:lncRNA
GUGAAGUCGCUCAGUCGUGUCUGACUCUUCGAGACCCUAUGGACUGCAGCCUACCAGGCUCCUCUGUCCAUGGGAUUUUCCAGUGACUACUGCUCUGAUUGUCUGUUAUUCGAUCAACAAUUAACCCCAGGGAACAGAAUAUAGGAUUUCCCAGGAAGGCAUGAUUGGCCUCCUUUCCUGCAGACAUUGUGGUGCUUCUUGGGAAGAGAAACUCAGAUUAGCUACUGAAAGGAAACAAGUUAAGACACUGUAACUGUGCACCAGGAAGGCAUCAGAUGUAAUAUACAGAUAAAGUAGCUUCCUCACAGAAGUAUCCAUUUGGAAAGUUUGUUACCACACAGAAAAAAAAAUGUACAAUGUUAAGAACUAACCAUAAGGAAAAGUGAAAUUAAAUGCUGUUGGAACAUCCCAUGUGAAGCAGAGAGUGGAAAGAGAUAGGAGACGACCAGUCAAUCAGAGGCCAGGCGGAGAAGUGUGCUGCAGUUCACAUUUACAGCAGGGACUCCCCCCUUUCAGGGAGUUAUUGAAGGAUUUAAACAAGGAUGUGACAGAACCAGAUGUCUGCUUUAGCAUUUUAUAUGGAUAAUGUGUACAGGAUGAUUCUCAAGGGAGUAAGUCUGAAGAAUAUCGGUUAGGAGGUUGUUGAAGAUGGUGAAGGGCUGAAGUAAACAGAGGUCGGGACAAGCUUCAAGGUCAUGUGACCUGUGCAGUCACAUAGCAUGG